UACGUAGGGGGCAAGCGUUGUCCGGAAUCAUUGGGCGUAAAGCGCGUGUAGGCGGCUUGGCAAGUCGGGUGUGAAAUCCCUCAGCUUAACUGAGGAAGUGCGCCCGAAACUGCUGUGCUUGAGUACUGGAGAGGGUGGCGGAAUUCCCCAUGUAGAGGUGAAAUUCGUAGAUAUGGGGGAGGAACACCGGUGGCGAAGGCGGCCACCUGGCCAGAUACUGACGCUGAGACGCGAAAGCGUGGGUAGCAAACAGGG
rnacentral:rRNA from 1 species